AUUAGAGUUUGAUCCUGGCUCAGGAUGAACGCUGGCGGCGUGCUUAACACAUGCAAGUCGAGCGAAGCAGUUUUAAGGAAGUUUUCGGAUGGAAUUAAAACUGACUGAGCGGCGGACGGGUGAGUAACGCGUGGGUAACCUGCCUCAUACAGGGGGAUAACAGUUGGAAACGACUGCUAAUACCGCAUAAGCGCACAGUGCUGCAUAGCACAGUGUGAAAAACUCCGGUGGUAUGAGAUGGACCCGCGUCUGAUUAGGUAGUUGGUGGGGUAACGGCCCACCAAGCCGACGAUCAGUAGCCGACCUGAGAGGGUGACCGGCCACAUUGGGACUGAGACACGGCCCAAACUCCUACGGGAGGCAGCAGUGGGGAAUAUUGGACAAUGGGGGAAACCCUGAUCCAGCGACGCCGCGUGAGUGAAGAAGUGUUUCGGCAUGUAAAGCUCUAUCAACAGGGAAGAAAAUGACGGUACCUGACUAAGAAGCCCCGGCUAACUACGUGCCAGCAGCCGCGGUAAUAAU
rnacentral:rRNA from 1 species